rnacentral:rRNA from 1 species
CCUACGGGUGACAGCAGUGAGGAAUAUUGGUCAAUGGACGAGAGUCUGAACCAGCCAAGUAGCGUGAAGGAUGACUGCCCUAUGGGUUGUAAACUUCUUUUAUAUGGGAAUAAAAUGUGCCACGUGUGGCAUUUUGUAUGUACCAUAUGAAUAAGGAUCGGCUAACUCCGUGCCAGCAGCCGCGGUAAUACGGAGGAUCCGAGCGUUAUCCGGAUUUAUUGGGUUUAAAGGGAGCGUAGAUGGGUUGUUAAGUCAGUUGUGAAAGUUUGCGGCUCAACCGUAAAAUUGCAGUUGAAACUGGCAGUCUUGAGUACAGUAGAGGUGGGCGGAAUUCGUGGUGUAGCGGUGAAAUGCUUAGAUAUCACGAAGAACCCCGAUUGCGAAGGCAGUUUACUAGACUGUAACUGACAUUGAGGCUCGAAAGUGUGGGUAUCAAACAGGAUUAGAUACCCGUGUAGUC